GAACCGUGCGAACGUUAUUCGGAAUCACUGGGCUUAAAGGGCGCGUAGGCGGGUCGAACAGUCAGGGGUGAAAUCCCACGGCCCAACCGUGGAAGUGCCUCUGAUACUGCCGACCUCGAGGGGGAUAGGGGCGUGCGGAACUCAGGGUGGAGCGGUGAAAUGCGUAGAUAUCCUGAGGAACACCGGUGGCGAAAGCGGCGCGCUGGAUCCCUUCUGACGCUGAGGCGCGAAAGCCAGGGGAGCAAACGGGAUUAGAUACCCCGGUAGUCCUGGCCCUAAACGUUGGGUACUAGGUAGCGGCCUGUCAUGGGGUCGCUGCCGGAGCAAAAGUGUUAAGUACCCCGCCUGGGGAGUAUGGUCGCAAGGCCG
rnacentral:rRNA from 1 species